rnacentral:rRNA from 1 species
GACGAACGCUGGCGGCGUGCCUAAUACAUGCAAGUAGAACGCUGAAGAGAGGAGCUUGCUCUUCUUGGAUGAGUUGCGAACGGGCGAGUAACGCGUAGGUAACCUGCCUUGUAGCGGGGGAUAACUAUUGGAAACGAUAGCUAAUACCGCAUAACAAUAGGUGACACAUGUCAUUUAUUUGAAAGGGGCAAUUGCUCCACUACAAGAUGGACCUGCGUUGUAUUAGCUAGUAGGUGAGGUAACGGCUCACCUAGGCGACGAUACAUAGCCGACCUGAGAGGGUGAUCGGCCACACUGGGACUGAGACACGGCCCAGACUCCUACGGGAGGCAGCAGUAGGGAAUCUUCGGCAAUGGGGGCAACCCUGACCGAGCAACGCCGCGUGAGUGAAGAAGGUUUUCGGAUCGUAAAGCUCUGUUGUAAGUCAAGAACGAGUGUGAGAGUGGAAAGUUCACACUGUGACGGUAGCUUACCAGAAAGGGACGGCUAACUACGUG